GACGAACGCUGGCGGCGUGCUUAACACAUGCAAGUCGAACGGAAAGGCCCUGCUUUUGUGGGGUGCUCGAGUGGCGAACGGGUGAGUAACACGUGAGUAACCUGCCCUUGACUUUGGGAUAACUUCAGGAAACUGGGGCUAAUACCGGAUAGGAGCUCCUGCUGCAUGGUGGGGGUUGGAAAGUUUCGGCGGUUGGGGAUGGACUCGCGGCUUAUCAGCUUGUUGGUGGGGUAGUGGCUUACCAAGGCUUUGACGGGUAGCCGGCCUGGGAAGGUGACCGGCCACAUUGGGACUGAGAUACGGCCCAGACUCCUACGGGAGGCAGCAGUGGGGAAUAUUGCACAAUGGGCGGAAGCCUGAUGCAGCAACGCCGCGUGCGGGAUGACGGCCUUCGGGUUGUAAACCGCUUUCGCCUGUGACGAAGCGUGAGUGACGGUAAUGGGUAAAGAAGCACCGGCUAACUACGUG
rnacentral:rRNA from 1 species